rnacentral:rRNA from 1 species
UACGGAGGGUCCAAGCGUUGUCCGGAAUCACUGGGUGUAAAGGGUGCGUAGGCGGGCUAGUAAGUCAGGGGUGAAAGCCCGCGGCUCAACCGCGGAACUGCCCUUGAUACUGCAAGUCUUGAGUCCUGGAGGGGCUGGCGGAAUUCGUGGUGUAGCGGUGAAAUGCGUAGAUAUCACGAGGAACACCGGAGGUGUAGACGGCCAGCUGGACAGGUACUGACGCUGAGGCACGAAAGCGUGGGGAGCGAACAGG